rnacentral:rRNA from 1 species
GAAUUCGCCCUUACAGUUUGAUCCUGGCUCAGGACGAACGCUGGCGGCGUGCUUAACACAUGCCAGUCGAACGAGAAUCAGUGGAUAGAGGUUUCGGCCAAUUGAAGCUGAGGACAGUGGCGGACGGGUGAGUAACGCGUGAGGAACCUGCCUUUCAGAGGGGGACAACAGUUGGAAACGACUGCUAAUACCGCAUAACGCAUAGGUAUCGCAUGGUACUUAUGCCAAAGAUUUAUCGCUGAAAGAUGGCCUCGCGUCUGAUUAGCUAGUUGGUGAGGUAACGGCCCACCAAGGCGACGAUCAGUAGCCGGACUGAGAGGUUGACCGGCCACAUUGGGACUGAGAUACGGCCCAGACUCCUACGGGAGGCAGCAGUGGGGAAUAUUGGGCAAUGGGCGCAAGCCUGACCCAGCAACGCCGCGUGAAGGAAGAAGGCUUUCGGGUUGUAAACUUCUUUUGUCAGGGAAGAGCAGAAGACGGUACCUGACGAAUAAGCCACGGCUAACUACGUGCCAGCAGCCGCGGUAAUACGUAGGUGGCAAGCGUUGUCCGGAUUUACUGGGUGUAAAGGGCGUGUAGGCGGGAUUGCAAGUCAGAUGUGAAAUUCCAGGGCUCAACCCUGGAACUGCAUUUGAAACUGUAGUUCUUGAGUAUCGGAGAGGCAGGCGGAAUUCCUAGUGUAGCGGUGAAAUGCGUAGAUAUUAGGAGGAACACCAGUGGCGAAGGCGGCCUGCUGGACGACAACUGACGCUGAGGCGCGAAAGCGUGGGGAGCAAACAGGAUAAGAUACCCUGGUAGUCCACGCUGUAAACGAUGGAUCCUAAGUUGCGGGGACUGACCCCCUGCGUGCCGCAGUUAACACAAUAAGUAUCCCCACCUGGGGAGUA